AAGUAGUUUCAUGAUAAAGGGUGUGUGGGAGGUCAACCUUUUAUCUGAAACUGCUUGA
ensembl:miRNA